AAGGGAUAAAAGCCCCCACCCCAAUCUGGCCAUGGCUGGCCUGGAUCAGCUGACUCAGAGCCAUUAUUCUAAACCUGAAUUCCAGGGUGAGGCAGGACUGCCAAACACACUGCUUCAGAGAAAGAAAGUGUACAUAUAGAAGUAGUAAGAAACGAAUUUUUCUUCCGACAACUCUAUCCAUGUGCAACUUAACUAUUGAUUGUCCUGCCUCUAAUAGUUUUUGGAUGUCCACCUGUGCACUGAAAUAGAAAAGAUCCUGAGAAGGAUAUGUCCUAAUGCCACCUCAGAAAGUCAACCCUUUCGACCCUGAAAAGGGAGAAGUGCGAGAGACUCCAUGGAGUUGUUUAUGGACUUUGCUGUUGCUAUUUAUGUUAUGUGGAAUACACUCCGAUAUUAUAGAAAAGGAUAGCAGUACAAAACCCUAAAAUGCACCCAUAUGUAUAGGAAUGCCAGACAUGUUUUCAAAAGUAAUGAGUAUUCCAGGUUGUAAUACUGUAGACAAAAAAAAAGUGUUCAUUCAUUAGAAUGUAUGUGUGCAGUGU